GUCGUUAUGAAUACUGCUGUUUAAUUUGAAAUAUCUUUUUCCUUUGUUUCCUUUACAAUUAUUAAUUUUAAGUGAAAUCGCUUAGUAAUCUGCAUUUUCAAUUGUCUUAUAUCAGUGUUGAGUACUCUUGGUCUCACAUAUUGACUUACUGGAAAACAAUCAAUUCUACUAGCUACUUUAUUAUUUUUUUCUCAGGGUAUAUUGGGUUUUAUUUGGAUUGAUUGCUCUCCCGAUAUCAAUAACUUUAAGUUUUUUUUAUCAAAGAUUUCAACCCAUUUGUAUUAUUUUUUAAUUU
rnacentral:lncRNA from 1 species